rnacentral:hammerhead_ribozyme from 1 species
GUUCAACUGAAGAGUCCCAAAUACGACGAAAUGAGCAUUCUGGAU